rnacentral:rRNA from 1 species
AUUGAACGCUGGCGGCAUGCCUUACACAUGCAAGUCGAACGGCAGCAUGGAGAGCUUGCUCUCUGAUGGCGAGUGGCGAACGGGUGAGUAAUGCAUCGGAACGUACCGUGUAAUGGGGGAUAACGUAGCGAAAGUUACGCUAAUACCGCACACGACCGGAGGGUGAAAGCAGGGGAUCGCAAGACCUUGCGUUAUACGAGCGGCCGAUGUCAGAUUAGCUAGUUGGUGAGGUAAAGGCUCACCAAGGCGACGAUCUGUAGCGGGUCUGAGAGGAUGAUCCGCCACACUGGGACUGAGACACGGCCCAGACUCCUACGGGAGGCAGCAGUGGGGAAUUUUGGACAAUGGGGGCAACCCUGAUCCAGCCAUGCCGCGUGAGUGAAGAAGGCCUUCGGGUUGUAAAGCUCUUUCGGCCGGGAAGAAAUCGCACAGGCUAAUACUCUGUGUGGAUGACGGUACCGGCAUAAGAAGCACCGGCUAACUACGUGCCAGCAGCCGCAGUAA